rnacentral:misc_RNA from 1 species
GUGAAUCAUCAAAUUUUUGAACGCAAAUUGCACUCUCCUCGGAGAGAAUGCCUGUUUGUGGGUCAGCCUAUUAAAAAUCGACAACGUUGCUGUUUCACGGUGACGCUCGUCGGAAAUUGGGUCACUCUAAACCUUUUGGGUUUAAGCGACUUACAAUUUUCUUUUUGAUUCCAUGAAUGUGUUCUUAAGAUUCAUUUCUUUACACGUUUAAGGUAUAGAUUUUUAUUAGACGCGACUAUAAUAUCGGAUCUCGUACAUAAUCUUUC